rnacentral:rRNA from 1 species
GACGAACGCUGGCGGCGUGCUUAACACAUGCAAGUCGAACGGAAGGGCCCUGCUUUUGUGGGGUGCUCGAGUGGCGAACGGGUGAGUAACACGUGAGUAACCUGCCCUUGACUUUGGGAUAACUUCAGGAAACUGGGGCUAAUACCGGAUAGGAGCUCCUGCUGCAUGGUGGGGGUUGGAAAGUUUCGGCGGUUGGGGAUGGACUCGCGGCUUAUCAGCUUGUUGGUGGGGUAGUGGCUUACCAAGGCUUUGACGGGUAGCCGGCCUGAGAGGGUGACCGGCCACAUUGGGACUGAGAUAAGGCCCAGACUCCUACGGGAGGCAGCAGUGGGGAAUAUUGCACAAUGGGCGGAAGCCUGAUGCAGCAACGCCGCGUGCGGGAUGACGGCCUUCGGGUUGUAAACCGCUGUCGCCUGUGACGAAGCGUGAGUAACGGUAAUGGGUAAAGAAGCACCGGCUAACUACGUG